CUUUCUGAAGUUAUAAAGUCAAUUUGAUUUUUCCUGAAUAAUCAUGUCACACCCUGAGGUGAUGAAAGAAGAUUCAAGGCCCCAGCUGCUUUCUUGUAUUCAAAACUGGUUGAAAGCGUGAAGGUUUAUUCCUCUUGUUGUUGAUAUAAAAGCCAACACACCCCAAGAGAUUUGGGAGCCCAGCCAACCUGAACUUGGAAGCAGUGAUGAAGCUGUCGACUGCCCGAGACUUUUCGUUCUGAUUCAGUGCAAAAAUGGUGGCACAGGACGAAGUGGUACCCAACUAGGUUCUAUGAGGCCUAGGUUGCAUUUCCUGAGUAUUGUGCCAUGAACCAGGCCACAGCUUGACAAUUGAAGUUGACCUCGCAGCACUGCCCCCCAAGAAAACUGUUGACUGCAAUCUCUGACAUUAGAACCCUCUACAGUCCUUAUCUUGGACCUUUGAGACUCAAGCUGCCACAUUAUGUGAACUAUGGUCAGUAACAUACCAAUCAGUUUUAUUCACCAGGUAUCAAGCUGAGGCUGAAUAAGUAGCUUGUUAUACUUCUGAAAUUAAUAGUCAUUUUGACGAGUUACCUUUUUCUCUUAAUUUUUUUUUUAAUUUUCUUUAAUUGAUGAAUGCUUACUGGAUCUCUAGAGAACUGUAAGUGACUUAGCCUAGUUGGUCCAGAGUAGUAGACUGAGCCAAUAAAUUUUAACCCCUUUUUUUUUUCCCUGUUGGCUCCUAAAUUAAGUGUUGAACAAUUAAGAGUGUCUAGUUGUUGUUUUUUUAUUAUGUAUAAUAGUUUUUCAUGUGUAGCACCAUGUUGAUUUUGUUCUUAUAUGAACCAAUGACCUAAUAUUUACUUAAACUUAUUUAUUAAACCAUCAUAAAAGAAGAAUGAUUUAAUUUCUUAAGCCACACUGGGCUGGGGUAGAUAGUCCAGUGUAGUAUAAUAAUUUUACCCUUUAAGGUUAUCUUUUAGAAGUAUGACUUUCACUUGAAUUGUCUGUUGGCA